rfam:Trichobilharzia regenti genome assembly, scaffold: TRE_scaffold0000470
AUCCAGAUGGCAAGUCCCAAAUAGGACGAAACGCGCAUCCUGUAU